rnacentral:rRNA from 1 species
UACGAAGGGGGCGAGCGUUGUUCGGAAUUACUGGGCGUAAAGGGCGCGCAGGCGGCUCUGAAAGUCAGAUGUGAAAGCCCCGGGCUUAACCUGGGAAUUGCAUUUGAUACUCUGGAGCUUGAGUGUGGGAGAGGAGAGUGGAAUUCCCGGUGUAGCGGUGAAAUGCGUAGAGAUCGGGAAGAACAUCGGUGGCGAAGGCGCUCUACUGGACCACAACUGACACUCAGGGACGAAAGCUAGGGGAGCGAAUGGG